UGGCUCAGAACGAACGCUGGCGGCAUGCCUAACACAUGCAAGUCGAACGAGAAAGUUCCUUCGGGAAUGAGUAGAGUGGCGCACGGGUGAGUAACGCGUAGAUAAUCUGCCCUUUAGCCUGGGAUAACCCUUCGAAAGAAGGGCUAAUACCGGAGAGACCACGUCUUCAUAAGGAGAUGAGGUUAAAGGCCGCUUGCGGUCACUAGAGGAUGAGUCUGCGUAGUAUUAGUUUGUUGGUGGGGUAACGGCCUACCAAAACGACGAUGCUUAACUGGUCUAAGCGGAUGAUCAGUCACACUGGAACUGAGACACGGUCCAGACUCCUACGGGAGGCAGCAGUGGGGAAUUUUGGACAAUGGGCGAAAGCCUGAUCCAGCAAUGCCGCGUGAGUGACGAAGGCUUUCGGGUUGUAAAGCUCUGUCAGACAGAAAGAAUGGUCCGGUGGUGAACCACCGGAAGUGACGGUACUAUCAAAGGAAGGGGCGGCUAACUCUGUGCCAGCAGCCGCGGUAAUACAGAGGCCUCGAGCGUUGUUCGGAAUUACUGGGCGUAAAGCGAGUGUAGGUGGCGUACCAAGUCAGAUGUGAAAUCCCUAGGCUUAACCUAGGACGUGCAUUUGAAACUGGUAUGCUUGAGUGCGAUAGAGGAGAGUGGAAUUCCACGUGUAGGGGUGAAAUCCGUAGAUAUGUGGAGGAAUACCAAUUGAGAAGUCAGCUCUCUGGCUCGUAACUGACACUGAGACUCGAAAGCGUGGGGAGCAAACAGGAUUAGAUACCCUGGUAGUCCACGCCGUAAACGAUGAGUGCUUGUUGUUGGGAGUAUCAACCCUCUCAGUAACGAAGUUAACGCGUUAAGCACUCCGCCUGGGGAUUACGGCCGCAAGGCUAAAACUCAAAUGAAUUGACGGGGGCCCGCACAAGCGGUGGAGCAUGUGGUUUAAUUCGACGCAACGCGAAGAACCUCAUCCUGGCCUUGACAUUCUAGGACAACCGAUGAAAGUCGGCUUUCUCUUCGGGAACCGAGUGACAGGUGCUGCAUGGCUGUCGUCAGCUCGUGUCGUGAGAUGUUGGGUUAAGUCCCGUAACGAGCGCAACCCACGUCCCUUGUUACCAGCAUUAAGUUGGGUACUCUAGGGAGACCGCCGGCGUUAAGCCGGAGGAAGGUGUGGAUGACGUCAAGUCCUCAUGGCCCUUAUGGCCAGGGCUACACACGUGCUACAAUGCAACAUACAAAGGGCCGCGAAACCGCAAGGUGAAGCUAAUCUCAAAAAGUGUUGCUCAGUUCGGAUUGAGGUCUGCAACUCGACCUCAUGAAGCUGGAAUUCCUAGUAAUCGCAGAUCAGAAUGCUGCGGUGAAUACGUUCUCGGGUCUUGUACACGCCGCCCGUCACACCACGAAAGUGGUUUGCACCAGAAGUCGCUGAGCUAACUUCG
rnacentral:rRNA from 1 species